UUUUUUCACAAGAGAGUUCCUGAUCUUCCACCAUGAACCCGGUUUACAGCCCCGUUCAGCCUGGGGCUCCCUAUGGAAACCCGAAGAACAUGGCAUACACAGGUAGGUCCAAGAACGUCCCUGAUGGGUGGAGGGAGCAGGCCAUCGUUAAUGAGUGGUGAUUCCCUUAAUUAAGGAGAAGUGGUUCACGUCGGGGACUCAGCAGUGAGGUUAAUGAGAGGAAAUUGGGCCCGAAUUCCACCUGUGGUGGAGCCAGUUCUUUGGGGAGCACGCUGUUGUUAUCGUAGGUGAUGAUUUACGCUGAGUUGUUGGCUGAUUGUUUUUGCUUUCAAAUUACACUUUGCUCGAGUUGAUGCUACGUUGAGCAUUGAGGCACUUGACUGUUUGAAGCCCGCGUUUAGAACUCAGUUGUCUAAAAGUGUCAUCUUUAAUGCUUGAAAAAGGCAGUGGGUUAUGCUCGCCGUAAUUAUGUGACUGGCAGGGAGCUGAUGUGUAGUGAUAGAGAAAGAACUGAGCUCAGAGAGGGGUUGUGCUUUGGAAAAAAACCUCAAUUUGAGUGUCUGUUCUUCCCUGUUCUUCCCUGGGAGUUUUUUCCCCAGCACGUAUUCUGAUGGUGUAACCCUUCCUGCCAUCCGCCUGGGAACGCUCUUCCUUCUAACAUUUUGUUGAGUGUCAUUAGCUAUUAAUUAGCUAUUAAGUGCCACGUUGCGGCCGUACUUUGUGUUCACUUUACCAGCUGUAUGAGUUGACUUCAAGGCUCACAGUGAGACUGCUUUGUGGAGAGAAGUGGUCAGCAGCACAUGGAAAUGAGCAUCCAAUACUCCCAGCUAUUUCAUUUGCACGGCGUUUCGCUGGCUCUGCUCCCUCCCUCUGGCAGCAGAUCAGCCCUGCUGUGUUGCUGGAGGAGUCCUGGCUGAUAACUCCAGUAUGGAGAGUUCCUCAAAGAGGUUUUGCCCUAUUUUGAUCCACCAUUUUUCUUUUCCCCAGUCAAAUUUAUGCAUGCUGCUUAGUUGGAGAUACUUCACGCAGGGAAACUUUGGUCUUCCAGUCAAAGCAUGAGAGGCUUUGGGAAAAAUUCUCUGUGAAUAAUCAGAAAUAUCACACAGAGAGAGGACUGCAGACUCCAGCAGUUCUCGGGUGGGAGAAGGAGUUCCAAAGUGCACUGGAGAGAGCAGCAAUUUUGUGCUUUGCAGUGUGUGGAUGGGUUUGACAAGAGUCUACUUCUCUCCCACUUCACUUUCUUUGCAUGUGCUUGCAACUCCACGUUAAACACUUAUUGGAUGUGAAUUUUCUCCGUCUGCUUUUGAACAGCCGUGGAUGUUAGGUUGGAUAUGAGGAGGAAGUUUUUCAUGCAGAGGGU